AUCCUGUGGUAAGGGCAUUUACGUAGUAGCUCUUUGAAUCUUUCCCAUGCCUCGUAUAGGGACUCAUCAUCUCUCUGCUGAAAGAUGGUGAUCUCAUUCUUCAACUU
rfam:Gossypium raimondii chromosome 11, whole genome shotgun sequence.